rnacentral:snoRNA from 1 species
UUCACUGAUGAUGAUUAUAUUACCGCCCCAGUCUGAUUUUAUAUUCACUGACUGAUUGGUUUUUAUCUGAUGUG